GCUCAAGAAAUUUUGGUCGUUCACAACAAAGUACAACAUGCCAUUUUACUGGCGUUUUUUCUCUUUUCUCUUCUUUCCAAGAUUUCAUUCUCCAUAGAUGUGCACUAGAUCAAGGUGUGGCCGGGAAAAUGGUUCUGCUUUCUUGUCUCUGCUAUCCGGAUGUUUAGAUUGUGUCUUGGAUCUCUUCUUAUGGUAGUUGCUGGGUGCCAUAUUGUUAAAGGACAGAGAAAUCUGCAAUGAACGAUUGGAAGUCAAGGUUUUGACUGAAGUCUUCAAAGCUAUUUUUUAAGAUGGUGAUGAUGGCAGCAUAAUCAAAUUUCGGUCUAGAAUCUCACGUGGAGUGUUGACCUUGUUCUCAACAUUGGAUCAUUUACAACGCUCUCUAGAUAACUAAGAGAUUUCAACCACGUUAUAGUUUCAAGAGUGGACUAGUGGAAUGUCUCGAGAAUUCUGACUGGGAUGAGUUUGUGGAUGUAAGUCAAGGUUUUUAUGUUGCAAAAAACAUCAUUGUUGAUCAAGCAAUUUGACAAGUCUGAAGAAGCUUUAGUUGAGUUGCUUCAGAAACUGGAAUAUGUUGACAUAACAAUGAAAGAUCUUCAGGUAA